CUGCAGUGAUGAGCGUUUGGAUGACUGAUCUGGUAUUGCUCCCCUCCGUGGAGAGCUCUGACCAGGGAAUGAUCCCAGUUUGAUCUUCUCUCUGAGCAG